AGAGUUUGAUCCUGGCUCAGAACGAACGCUGGCGGUAUGCUUAACACAUGCAAGUCGAACGAACAAAAUUGGAGCUUGCUCCAAUUUUAGUGAGUGGCAAACGGGUGAGUAACACGUGGGAAUCUACCUAUCAGUACGGAAUAACAUUUGGAAACAGAUGCUAAUACCGUAUAUUCUCCAAGGAGGAAAGAUUUAUCGCUGAUAGAUGAGCCCGCGUAAGAUUAGGUAGUUGGUAGGGUAAUGGCCUACCAAGCCGACGAUCUUUAGCUGGUCUGAGAGGAUGAUCAGCCACACUGGGACUGAGACACGGCCCAGACUCCUACGGGAGGCAGCAGUGGGGAAUAUUGGACAAUGGGCGAAAGCCUGAUCCAGCAAUACCGCGUGAAUGAUGAAGGCCUUAGGGUUGUAAAGUUCUUUUAGUUGGAAAGAUAAUGACGGUACCAACAGAAAAAGCCCCGGCUAACUCCGUGCCAGCAGCCGCGGU
rnacentral:rRNA from 1 species